GUCAUGCUAGAGGAAAGGUUAACUCGUCGGUCUUACACCAAAAGUGCGCACCGAAAAUUCCUGGUUCGAGUCCAGGGCAUGGCA